GAUGAACGCUGGCGGCGUGCCUAAUACAUGCAAGUCGAGCGAACGGACGAGAAGCUUGCUUCUCUGAUGUUAGCGGCGGACGGGUGAGUAACACGUGGAUAACCUACCUAUAAGACUGGGAUAACUUCGGGAAACCGGAGCUAAUACCGGAUGAUAUUUUGAACCGCAUGGUUCAAAAGUGAAAGACGGUCUUGCUGUCACUUAUAGAUGGAUCCGCGCUGCAUUAGCUAGUUGGUAAGGUAACGGCUUACCAAGGCAACGAUGCAUAGCCGACCUGAGAGGGUGAUCGGCCACACUGGAACUGAGACACGGUCCAGACUCCUACGGGAGGCAGCAGUAGGGAAUCUUCCGCAAUGGGCGAAAGCCUGACGGAGCAACGCCGCGUGAGUGAUGAAGGUCUUCGGAUCGUAAAACUCUGUUAUUAGGGAAGAACAUAUGUGUAAGUAACUGUGCACAUCUUGACGGACCUAAUCAGAAAGCCACGGCUAACUACGUG
rnacentral:rRNA from 1 species